rnacentral:rRNA from 1 species
UACGAAGGGGGCUAGCGUUGCUCGGAAUCACUGGGCGUAAAGCGCACGUAGGCGGACUCUUAAGUCAGGGGUGAAAUCCUGGAGCUCAACUCCAGAACUGCCCUUGAUACUGGCGGUCUCGAGUCCGGGAGAGGUGAGUGGAACUGCGAGUGUAGAGGUGAAAUUCGUAGAUAUUCGCAAGAACACCAGUGGCGAAGGCGGCUCACUGGCCCGGUACUGACGCUGAGGCGCGAAAGCGUGGGGAGCAAACAGG